CUGCUGCAGAACCACCCAGGAGAUGGUGCUCUUGAACCAGAGAUAGAUGCAGCGCUGACCCAGAGGCAUCCUCGAACGCAGCCCUCCCUGUUUUCCCUUUGUGUUGCAUGCUCUUCUUUGGGGUUCCCAUUUCCUAUGGGGAGAAGAAUGUGAUGAUGUUGAGCCCGGAGCGUAUUUCCAUCUGAUCCGUAAUGCGAUUUCCAGCCUGGUGAUCCUAGGCUCCUGCCUGAAAUGACGCUGGUGCUUGUAGGAGGUGUUUUUCCCUGGACUGUGAGACUAGUGAGAUGCUGAAGCUGAACACGGAGCAGAUUUGCAGCUGAUUGCCCUGAUUGGAGCCUGGGAUGCGCUGUGCCCAAGCCAAGCAUCUGAGGGGUGCCAGCUCCAUUGCUGCCAGGGCUGGGAAAAGCACGGCCGUGCGUGGGGCUCCCUGUGGCCUCCUCAGUGGGACAGCCUUUCACUGCUGACACGUGUCUCAGAGAAUCUGAAUCACAGUCAUCAGUGCAGUAAGACCAUUGUCACUGCAUUCGGUACUUGGAAAGAAAUGGGUUAAGAGAUAAAACCUGCA
ensembl:lncRNA